rnacentral:rRNA from 1 species
AUUGAACGCUGGCGGCAGGCCUAACACAUGCAAGUCGAGCGGGGUUUUCGGACCUAGCGGCGGACGGGUGAGUAAUGCGUAGGAAGCUACCCGAUAGAGGGGGAUACCAGUUGGAAACGACUGUUAAUACCGCAUAAUGUCUACGGACCAAAGUGUGGGACCUUCGGGCCACAUGCUAUCGGAUGCGCCUACAUGGGAUUAGCUAGUUGGUGAGGUAAUGGCUCACCAAGGCGACGACCCCUAGCUGGUUUGAGAGGAUGAUCAGCCACACUGGAACUGAGACACGGUCCAGACUCCUACGGGAGGCAGCAGUGGGGAAUAUUGGACAAUGGGCGCAAGCCUGAUCCAGCCAUGCCGCGUGUGUGAAGAAGGCCUUCGGGUUGUAAAGCACUUUCAGUAGGGAGGAAGCGUUGUGUGUUAAUAGUACACAGCGUUGACGUUACCUACAGAAGAAGCACCGGCUAACUCUGUGCCAGCCGCCGCGGUAAUAC